AACGCACAUUGCGCCCAUUGGUAUUCCGAUGGGCAUGCCUGUUCGAGCGUCACGAAAAGGAGUCAAGCCUCGGCUUGUUAUUGGACCCCGUUGUCCCGUUUAAAGGACACGUCCUAAAUGUAAUGCCGGAGUCGAGCGCGACCCUAGAUGCACCGAGCUUUUGAAGCACGCAUGUCAUGGGACCGCCCGGCCCGGUCGUGACCUAUUUAUUUUUUAAGAUUGACCUCGAAUCAGGUAGGGAUACCCGCUGAACUUAA
rnacentral:misc_RNA from 1 species